CAGGCUAUACUUUCAGGGAUCAUUUCUAUAGUAUGUACUAGAGCUGUUUCUCUGAUCAUGUAGAGUACCAACUCCUGCAGA
rnacentral:snoRNA from 1 species